GGUCGCUGCCGGUCCCGUCCCUGUGGGGGUGUGGGGCGUGGAGGAGCGUCCGAGCACGUUCCAUAGUAGUUUUUACCCACUUCCCAGUUCGGUCUCUGAAGAGGGGGGGGGAAAUGCUGCAGCUUCGACAAUAGUUUUGCUUAGAACAAAGCCAGGGAUUUGGAAUCUGAGGCUGGGGGUGGCGGGUGAGGAGUCGGGGGGGCGGCCAAGGUUUGAACCGACCCCGCCCCGGCCCCACAUUUGAGCCGCAAACCGAUGCCGUUUCCUGGGGCUGGGCUGUGUGUAGAGGCUGCCUUCCUGGGGGGAGGGGAGAACAAUACCGCCUGAAAAUCCACAAGUCGUGGAAUCUGGGGGCGGGGUGUAUUCGCGGAAAAUAAAUUGCAAGAUAGAGCCAGUGGUUAUCUUGGCGUUCAGUCGAUUGAUCUUCAGACUUCCCAGCCAGCGAGCUGCACACUGCAGUGCGAAAGCAGGAAACGCAUUACGUCAGAAGAGACAAGAGACCCAAGUUGCAACGGUUGCAUCUGCAGGGCUGGCUCUUUCUCCUCGGAGAGGUUCCGCGGGGCUCGGGCCCUGGGUGCUUGCCCGGGCGCGGCGCUGCGCGCUUUCACGCAAAGGGCCAGGAGCUGGCGGCAGCCGGGGGACCCCUGGCCUGGGUGCCCUGAGCGCCAGCCCCGGGCCGCCGCACGUUGCCCUUCCCGGCAGGCUCAUUUAGAGCCACAACAAAUUCCUUUUAAAGAUAGCCCCGCGCUUAGCUGGAUGUCCUAAAUUCCAGGAAGGACGGGGUGAGGAACCGCACCAAGUGUCACUGCCGUCCUGAGUUUAGUGUGAGAAGGGAAGCAGGUGGCGGAAUCCCAGCUGUGUGCGGAGCUGGACCGGUUCUCCACACCUUGUCAGUUACCUCGUUUCUCGGUGUUGAUGGACAUGUCACAAGAAACUUGUUCUCCGCCACGGACCUAGCUCCUGAGGCCUUGUCACUGCUUCUCAGAAAUCACUUGAGGACGAACAUGAAGCAGGAGAAUAAUUGUGAAUUAGUACAUUCUGUCUCUUGGAAAACGUUAAGGAGUUUGAUACUAGCCUCACCUGCUCCCUCACUCAGCUGCUCCCUGGCUCGGGGUCAUUACAAAGUAAUCUCAGUAACCGGUCCUCCCAGGCUCGAGGUCCACUCCACCCGUGAGCAAAGUUUUGCACAAAAACGGUGGUAACAAGGGCUAAUGAUGAUUAUUGUUCUGUGCUAGGCAGCAUGCUGAGAGCUUUGGCGGACUGUCUUGUUUAAUUCUUAGGAUAGCUGUGUGAGGUGAGUACUAUUACCCUCAUUUUACAGAUAAGGAAACAGAUUCGGAGAAUCGAUGUGUUCUCCCUGGGUGGGAACCAGGCACUACCUGUGGGGGCGGGGAGAUUACUUUGAUCAGGGGACUUUCCAGGCUCACCUCAAGUCAUACCAGGAAGACAAGAUUUUUCAUUCAUCCCUGCUGUCAACUACAGUAAACCUAGUCCUAGUUAAACAGGGUGGGUGUCAGGGGUCAUGCUUAAUCCUCUAGAGCAAGAGAAACUGCUCUGGAACACCUAAAUUAUUUAAGCCAAUUUUCUCAUUGCCCUGAGUUUGAUACGGUAUCUUAAAAAGUCAUUUAAUGGUUAAAUUUAAUAUAGCCCUUCAUUCCUAGCUCAGGCCAUUGGAUAAUGUCAGACAGAACCUGUUAUUGUUGAACAUGUAGGGAACCUAAAGGAACUGAGUGAGUUCCCAUGUAAGUUAGGAGUGGAGCCAUGUUCAGAAUUAGCUGUUAGCCUAGGUCAGGGUCGGGUGAGUCCUGUUUUUGCUUUUCCUUUUGGUUGUCUUUUCCCUCAUCACUGUCAUCUAGGCAGGAGAGAGCUAGGGAAGGGAAACUGGUCUGUGACUGGUGUCUGAAAAGGGAAAUUCAAAUGAGGACAAGUUCAGGGGGAGGAGGUUAUUCCUGUGUGCAUCAUUACGAUUUUAUGUAAUAGAAACAAGUGAUUUGAAAGCCAGGCACCCGAUAGAAGUUGAAGGCCAGUUGUGCCCCAUCCCAGAUGGAAGGCCUUAGACCAGCUGUGGAGGGUGAGACCCAGUUUCCUCAUCUGUGAAGUGGCAGCCUUGCCCCUAACGUUCCCCUCUGCUGUCAACUCUGCCUCCUCUAGUCUUCUGCAGGCUGGUGUUUCUCAAAGUUCUCUCCUAGGGCCAGUCUCUUCAGCACACUCUCCUGGAUGAUUUUACCCAGGUCAUGGCCCUUUUUACUGUUUGAAGUCUUUGUCCCUUGCCCAGGUAUCUUUCCUGAGCUCCAGAUCUGUAUACAGAACAUCUCCACGUGGACACCUCAAAUUAAAUGUUCCAAACUGAACUGCUCUUUAUCUGUUUCCCAGGCGCCUAUGACGAAAGAUAGGCCCUGCCUCUGCACAUCCCCACCCAGUUAUUCAAGCCAAAGCCUGGCUAAUUCCCCUUUCCCUGAUUGUGUUGGUUAUACAGUCAAUGAAUGGCCAUCUCCUAGGUCAGGUUGUCAGCUGCCUUCUGGCUACCAGCCCCAAAAACCUCCACCGUGCAGCCGGAACCCCUCCCUUGGUCCUCUUCAGUGGCUCCCAUUGCACUCAGAGUGAAGUGUGGCACGGGUUUCAGAGCCACUCAAGAUCGUGCUCAGACCUAGGUCUCUAGCUUCUCCCCUCGAUGGCACUCCACCUUUCAGCCAUUCUUAAAUUCUUUCAAUUCUUCUAAUGGUGCCAGAUUCUUUUGUUGUUUCCCUGAGCUUCAGCAGAGGCUGUUCUGAAAAUGCUGCUGCACCUCAUCCCCGUGCCCCUUCUCCUGACGAAAAGCUCCUACUCUUUCAGUUCUCCUCUGUCACUUCCUCCAGAAAGCUCUUUGGCCUCCACCCAAUUCCACGGGCGCACAAAGAACUGUGCUUUCCCAUCACAGUGCCGAUGCACUGUGUCCUGAGUGUCUUUUAACUGUGCUGAAUCUAAGUCCUUAUUUAGGUAGUGGGGGAGUGCAUCAGAAUCAUUCAGGGUGCUUUGUCCUCCUGCACCUCAAAGCCCCAUCUACCCUUCACCAUUCCCAGUCUGCCGUGAGUGUGUUGUAACAAUCAGGACUCAAUGAGCCCAUGCUACUAAUGAUGUGCUGUGUCCCAGGGGGUGUUACGGGAAGAAAGGUUGAGAACUGCUGCAGUUCCACAAGGAAGGGGUUGUUCUGUCCCUCGUGCCUGGCCCAGUGGAAGGCACAGAGUAGGAGACAGUCAGGAAAUACGUGUAAGAUUGACUGGAGAUGAAAGGCUUAAGUCAAAAUGUACAUUAAGUCCCCAGGACAGAACAGGCAUGGGGUAAACCUGGACUGUCUUUCCCUCCACUUGCUGAAAUGGAGCGUCGUACCUGCCAUCCUUGUCACCCUUUAUCCCGCAGAUCGUUUUUAGGGGGAAGCCGUCUUCAGAAGAGGAACUUUAUUCAGGUUGUCUCUGAAAAAGUGGGACUGAAUCCCGGGAGGAGUCAAGACCGGAGGUGGAAAGGUGUAUUUUAUACUCAUUAUCUCUUCUAAGAGCACCAAGAUUCUGCCCUCAAGAGGUUUAUUUUCAGGAAAAUGACACAGAAAGGUAACUGCAUGGAAGCGAGACUGGGGACAAGGACUCGGGCAGGGAAGUGACUGCGGUAGUUCAAGCAAGUGGUCGUGAAAGCCUGGAACAGUGGUUUUCAAACUGCGGGUCACAACCUGACGUUGUUAGAAUUACUAGCGGAACAAAAUAAGCGAUAGUCACAUGUUAAAAAGAAAAAAUAACAACAGUGCUAAUGGCAACACAUCAAAGGAUUCAUCACAUGGGAAAGCAAAGAAAUCAUGCAGACAAGUAGAAAAAAGCCCACAAACACCUGUCUUUCCACAAUUUAAUGCAAUGGUGACAAUUUAGUUGCAGCAAAACAACAUCAACCAGGAUGUUAAUUCUGUGGAUUCACAUUGUGUUGAUUUAAUUUGACUUUGACUUAUAAAUUUGCUCUGGUUUUAUUGACAGAUGAGAGCCACAAUAAUUAUGCACACUUUAGCUGACAAAAUCUGAGAAAAAAAGACACACAAGGGAACUUUUACUCUAAAUACUUUCUAGUACUUAUAUUAAAAGCAUUAUACUUUCAUAAAUACGUGUAAGUUUCAUUAUAUUUCAUUUCUAGAACAUUUAUAAAUAUAUAAUAUAGAAACAUUAUAACCAGUUAUACUUGAAACCGAAUAUUCAGAUACUAAUAUUAAUCUGAAUAACAUACCUGGUUUGCCUUACUGAUGCCACGUUAUGGAAUCAACUGUUCUGACUUUCAGACACCAAAGUUAAGUCUAAAACUGAAGGCACAUAGUAAAUUUUGGCUGAAUACUGAAGUUGAAGCCAGACCUCAGUGGAUCCUAAAUUAUAAACAUAUGUGUACUUUUAAAUUUUUCACUCAGUGCCUUAUGACAUAUAUGUUUUAAAGUAGUUUGGACCCAUAAAAUUUAAUAUAGAAAGAGCAUUUGUAACACUGGUGAUUACUUUUCAAAAAUCAAAUUAUGGCGCUCUCUUUUUCAGUAUCUUUUAAGCAUAAAUUUACUGAAAAGCAAGAUUUUUUUUAAAUCAAGGAAAAGAAUAAGACUAUGUCUGGGGGAGGGGGGUAGCAUAUGUGUGGGAGGGAUAGGGGUCCAUGGAUAAGUAGCUUCCUGCAGUAAAGACCGUGGGCUUUACAUCCAUACGGUCUAUGUUCAAAAUUUACUUCCUCUUCUUUCUAGCUGAAUGAUCUUGGGGAAGUUAACUUAUUUUCCAGACAGUUGGUGUCUUUAUUUAUAAAACUGAGGCAAUAAAAUUGACCUUUCAGGGUUGUUGAUAAUAAUGUUCAAGUUAAUUUAUAUUGAUAAUAAUAAACAAGUUAAUUUAUGUAGAUGUGUAAUAACACAGAGGCCAUCACCUAGUAAACAGUCCAUAAUGUGUGGGGCAGUAAUUUCUUAGGGGAAAACAUUUUGAAGAGGCCCAGUGUAAGAUGUGAUCCAGCCUCUGCCUUUACUAAGCAAAGUACAUGAAUAUCUGGGUGCCUUUUCUGCCUUCUGUUUGGUGCUGUGACCAUCCACAGAACGGAAUUCUCCGGAGGCCAGAGAUGACUGAGCUCCUUAGAUGAGAAGUGUUGUGACAAAGAACAGUGAUGUUCCGACCGGUUCUGUCAUCAUCGUUGCAAAUGCGCCACACGGGAAGACUUUGAUUUCACCACCCUCGUUGUCUCCUGAGCUUUUGGCUCAGACAGCUGCUGGAGCCAGCGCCUCCCGUGUCCCUCAGAGAGCUGUGAGCAUCGAACCAGAGCAGCCACAUAUGAACUCCUUCCUACAACCAGGAAAAUCCCGAGUCUGCUCAUUAUACCAAUCAUAUCUCUAGAAAAAUGGAGAAGUGGGGAGCACUUUGCAGGAGGUGGGCUGGAAUUCACCCCGUUCUGCACAAAUUUCAGUUUCUUCCCUGUGAAGUUCAGUCCCUGACCUGCAGUCUGGGAGAACUGGGAUUGUUUCCAUUAUUGUUACCAUCAGCAGCCACGUUGUUACUUACACUGUACAAAGAUGUUUCUUCUUGUCUUGAAAUAGGGCAAAUGCAGUGUGAGGAACGAUCAUUAAAAGUAAAAAUAUGCCCCCUCAUUUUUCUAAGAUAAUGCUUUAGAAAACGUCGUUGGUCAUCUAAGACAAAGCUUAGUUAGGUGAUUUAAUUGUCACUUUCAAGAAUUUACCAAAAAUCUCGUUUUAGAUUAUUUCAGUAUUUCUAUGGCAAGAAUUGUCAUUGUAUCUUGUUUAAUUAAUGUAUUUGCUGUUUUGCUACAACUGUGUCCUCUUUUGGAAUGUUUGUUUUUUUCAUAGAAUGUUAAAUACAUUUAUUUCAUAAGUACCGGGAGAAAAUGAGAACACUUUCAAGAGCUGGACACCUGCUGUAUUUCAUGCAUCAUGCCAGCAAAAACAACCAACAACAAGCCAGUAAAGGGAGGACCAGGGAGACACAACGUCUGCCAAGAGACGGCCAACAAAACUGGUGAAAGAGGAGGACUCGGAUUAUUCUGUCUUCUCCUGCCCCUUGGGUGCCCCACAAGCCAUUCAACUUCAGCAGAGCAUUAUUUGCACCUGCCUUAUUGAGGAAGCAGACAUCAGGCAACAUGGGCUUUCCUUCACCAUGAAUUUCCUUGGGUCGCUGAAGAGAAAGGAGCUCACUUCCUGUCCAGGGAAGCCUUCUCGACUAUGCGUGAUCUCAUCCUCUCUAGUCCUCUCCAUGGCCUUGCUCUCCGUCAGUCAUCCUUCCAUGAAGUUCCAGUCACCCUGACCGGCCUGACUUCUCCUCAACCUGUAAAUAUUUUAUUUUCCCCUUCCCUGUCCUAAUGUCCCAUCUACUUUUCUUCAUUACCAACCCUUCACUUUUCAAAUCUAGGUCUACUCCUUCUACUCGCCUAAAUUGGUUCUCCUGGAAGUCCCAUGGCUUCCAAACCCACUGGCCUUUUCUCUGUUCUUACCUGUCUGACCUCAGGAGCAUCUGACUGUUGACCAUCUACUUCUGCUGAAAUUCUCUUCCUUCAGGUCUUGGACUCCCCUCUCCGACCUUUGACCUCACUGUGCUUCACAGACUUUUCUUUCUCUUCCACCAACUAAAUGAGUGCUGCUAAGGGUCUUUCCUGACCCUCUUUUAUCUCACUCUCUUUGUGCUCUCUUUUGGAGAGUUUAUCUCAAUUCUUUCCCCCUUUUGGAAAUGAUUCCAAAAACUCUUGUUUCCUAUCCUUACUUCUCUCCUAUUUCAGUGCCUGAAUUUCCAAUUGCCUGCUACACACCUCCACAUCCCCAAACAAUUUAAAAUUUAAAAUCAAAGCAAAAGGAGUCAUCCCAUCUCUGAACCUUGCGCAUUUAGAUUAAUGCAUUUUCCUGCCUCCAGGAGCAUUUGGGAGCACAUUCAGCUCCCUUAUUUCUCUCAUUCCCUCCAUGAACUUGGUGAAAAAAGACCAGACUUUGGAACCAGAUUGACUUAGGUUGAAUCCCUCUUCUGCUGCUUUGAACUGUGACCUCGGGCUAAUUGCUUAAUCUCCCUGAGUUUCUUCAUCUGGAUUAAUCAAGUGCCCAUAUUUGCCCAACCUACAGAUUGUACCAAUUAAGUGAAAUGUUUCAUAAACCACCUUGAAUGUGCCUGA